UACGUAGGGUGCAAGCGUUGUCCGGAAUUAUUGGGCGUAAAGAGCUCGUAGGCGGUCUGUCACGUCUGCUGUGAAAACUCGGGGCUUAACCCCGGGCCUGCAGUGGGUACGGGCAGACUAGAGUGCGGUAGGGGAGACUGGAAUUCCUGGUGUAGCGGUGAAAUGCGCAGAUAUCAGGAGGAACACCGGUGGCGAAGGCGGGUCUCUGGGCCGGCACUGACGCUGAGGAGCGAAAGCGUGGGGAGCGAACAGG
rnacentral:rRNA from 1 species